AACCUAGCACACCUGCGGUGUGUACCUGCGGAAGGAUCAUUACAGAGAUUGAUGCACCAAGUGCAUCACCUCCAACCCCUUGCGAAAACAACUAUCAUGUGUUGCUUUGGCAGUGUUUCCACUGCCAGAGGUUUACAUAAAAUCAGCUGUUUGGAUGUUGUCUGAGUAAACUAUAUGAAUUAUUUAAAACUUUCAACAACGGAUCU
rnacentral:misc_RNA from 1 species